UUUCCUCAUCCUUACUCCAGGGUUAUUGUCCUCCAUACAUUCCCUGGCAUUACUUGAGGAUAAAUAAAUUGUUCUGAUCUGGCCUCUGGAAAUGGUUUCCACUGGCUUGGUGAUUGAGAACAUACAUA